GCUAGCUUUGGCAGCAUACUAAAAAACUGGAACAACACAGAGAUUAGCAUGGCCCCUGUGCAAGGAUGACAUGCAAAUUUGUGAAGCAUUCCAGUAAGAA
rnacentral:snRNA from 1 species